rnacentral:rRNA from 1 species
UACAGAGGGUGCGAGCGUUAAUCGGAAUUACUGGGCGUAAAGCGUGCGUAGACGGUUAUUUAAGUCGGGUGUGAAAGCCCCGGGCUCAACCUGGGAAUUACAUUCGAGACUGAAUAGCUAGGGUACGGUAGAGGGAAGUGGAAUUUCCGGUGUAGCGGUGAAAUGCGUAGAUAUCGGAAGGAACAUCAGUGGCGAAAGCGACUUCCUGGACCAGUACCGACGUUCAGGCACGAAAGCGUGGGGAGCAAACAGG